CAGAGGCCCUGGUGGCAUGGGCUCACAAGGGGGAUCUCCUGAUCUGUAGGCUGCACAGAUCUGUGGGAAAAGUGUGGUUUCCCAGACAGGGUAGCAUGAUCUCUCACUGCCUCCCUUGGCUGAGGGUGGGAGUUCCCCUUGCCCCGUGUGGCUCCCAGGUGGGCCGUCACACCACUCUACUUUUCCUCACUCUUCAUGAGUCACACCAACCACCUAGUCAGUCCAAAUGAGAGAACCUGGAUACCUCUGUUGACGAUGCAGGAUUCACUUGCCAUUUUGUUCUUCUCUUCGUGGGAACCUCCGAUGACAGCUGUUUCUAUUUAUUCCAGUUGGGCCACAUCAUGAAACUGGAGAGGUGUGAUGGGUGCAGCAUGAACCAGGACAGAGGAAAGCAGAGAGAAGGUGCUCCACACUGAUGAAGCAGCCAGAGGAAUGGGCCUUGGCAGUGGAGGGGAACAUCUGGGCUCAGGCUCUAGACACGGUCUGCAAUUUAAAAACUGGAUUGUGAUGAGAAGCAUCUGGAGUCUGAUAAAGGCUAAUUACAGUUAAGAAAUAUGAAAAUUGAGAACUCAGGAGAAGAUCAGCUUCUACUACUGCCUGGGCAGAAUAAUCAAGAAAUUAGCACAAACUGAUGGUGACCAUAAAGAGACACUAGAGGAUAAUUGAAGUAUUAACAUUAAAGAUAUUCUGGCAAGUGGUUUGUCCCUUGAGAGUCCAGGCCGUCUUCCUUGCUACAGGACAUAAUACGACUGAAGAGCUUUUCAACAAAGCAAUGGGGGCUCUGUAGGAGGGUUGCCUCAUAAGCUUGGGCUGAGGCUGGGGCAGAGGGAUGCUGGUUAAUGAGUAGGCUUUUCUGCAUGAAGCAUGAGGACCCUGGUUGGGCCCCACACUUUCAGGGUUGCUCUAACAAAGUAAAGCAAGUACAGAGAAUGGCAAUCAGAGAGAAGGGUCUGAACUCACAGCAUGGGAAAACCUUUAGAGAUGGCCAGGCUUUUUGUUGGUUGGGAAAUGGCUCUAGAUGAAUACAGUUGGCAUUUUCAGUUAUUUUAGUGAAGACAUCAUGAGGAGAGGAGAUUGUACAUAGUCUCUAGACUACCAAAGGAAUAGCUAAAACUACAUUUAAAACAUUUUUAACCAAACAUUGUUGAGCUCCUUUCACGCGCCAUACAAGGGACCUACGGUUUCC
rnacentral:lncRNA from 10 species